UACGGCCAUAUGAUGUUGAAACACCGGUUCUAGUACGAUCACUCAAGUUAAACAACGAUGAUUCUGGUCAGUACCUAGGUGGGUGACCGCCUGGGAAUACUAGGUAUUGU